AACUCUUUUAACCUCUCUGGCCCUCGGACAUCUCAUUCCUAAAAUGAAUGAGGAGCUUGGGUUUCACUAAAUCUCUAAGAAUUCCUUUCAAUUCUAAACUCCAGUGAUUCGAAAUCUCUCCCCUUCUGGGCAGCUCCAUUGCCACUCUCCUCCAGUGAACCAGUGGGGACCUUCUUCAGUGGGGAUGAUGGAGGAGCUCCCAGGAGGACGGGCACUGAGAACACAGGAAGUGCGGAACAGAAACGGGAUUGUGACAUCAGUUGGCGGAAGGAGGAAGUGGCUCCCAGAGACCCAGCCCAGAGGCAGAAUCGGUGGCCGCAGACUCUCAGGGCUCUUAGCGUGUUUCCAAAGGCCGAGACCCGCAACCCCCUGCAGCUGGUGGUGAAAGGUGCCCCUCAGAGAGUGGAGUCUGGUGCUCACACAGGGACAAGUGGCUUUUCUCUCAGUUACUCCAUCAUGGUCACUCAUGACUACGUGAAUUUAAUAACACCCCUGACCCAACCCCCUCAAAACCAAAUGACUCCUUUCCAAAUUUAAGCUGUUCCAACUAUUGACUGUGACUGACCACUAUAGCAACUGCACAACAAUCUGGAGGUGGUUGCACGGGGGAAAAGGACCCAACUUCAUAAGAAGGGGAUGCUCAAGGUCACUGCCCACGUGUUCUUCUGUCUCGCCGACUGUCUUCGAGCAAGGUCAGAGAGCGAAUCAUAAAUGGGGGCAAAUUCCAGCCGGGUCUUUCAACCAGCUGUUCUGUUCUAUGAAAUGUCACACUGUAACAGGAUAAUUGGAGGGUCUGGAUAAGCUGGUGAGGGAAUAAGGGCUUUUCCUAAGGAAGAUAAAAGCAGAGAAGCAGCUCUCAGCACUAAGCUGGCUGCCCUGUUUCUUCAAAAAUAGGUCCUCUAACAUGGAGAAACAGAAAUCUAAACCUUCUUAAAUCCCCCAGAAUGUUUUGAAUAGAACAAACACCUUUUUCAUGAAAGAAAUACAUUUUAAAAGAUCAUAGCAACAGGAUGCACCAGAUGCUUGGUCACCUAAGUGUUUUUGGAAAAGGAAAAGAGCUAUUCAGCAUUAAAGAUUCAGGAAUGUCUGUUGACAUAUUAAAGAAACAACCUCAGGGGACAGCUGACAAGGCUCCAAGAAGCAUUACCAAGGGAACAGUGACGCAAACACAUUCCGUUUUUACAGGCUGGCCUGCUGCCAGGCUCCCUCGCCUGACGGCUGAUGUAAUGUUAAACCCUAUCUGGGUUAGCGUUGCUUAGAUAUCAACUCAAGCAGCUCAGUCCGCUGCAAUCAAUAGCAGGCUCCUUUUAUAGAAGAUAGUAAAGGAAAAAAAAAUGUGUAUAUAGAGAGAGAACUCCGGAUGCUGGUGUGCUGAAAACCUAAACGUUGUGCCGAAAAUGGGAAAGGAAAAGAAAGAAGGGUCCAACAUAAACCUUAGAAGCACCUUAGCACCCUCAGCUGUCUUCCUGUGGAGUAAGUCCAGUUGUUCACAAAAGAUAUUGCUAUUUCAUAACGAUACUAGCUAUUUUUUAAAGCAUAACUAAGGAAUAUGCCUAAUUCCCAGCUGAGCUAAAUGACGAUGGAAGAAAACAGAAGACAUUAGGUGGGAAUGUGAAAAUAAUGGUAUUUUUCAUUAUUGAAUAAAUGGGCU
rnacentral:lncRNA from 1 species